rnacentral:lncRNA from 1 species
AUCUACUAUAACAUUUUAUUUUGAUUUUACAUAUUGCAAAUCCCCAAGCAUCGAAGAAGUCACUAAGGCAUGCAAAGGCUCACCAAGUCUCAAAGCCUGUUUAUGGCGAGACAGAAGCCAAGCAUGCCAGGAUCUGCUUGACCGCGCGAAGGCGAGCAGAAUCCCCAAGCAUCGAAGAAGUCACUAAGGCAUGCAAAGGCUCACCAAGUCUCAAAGCCUGUUCAUGGCGAGACAGAAGCCAAGCAUGCCAGGAUCUGCUCGACCGCGAGAAGGCGAGCAGAAUCCCAAGCAUUGAAGAAUUUACUAAGGCAUGCAAAGGCUCACCAAGUCUCAAAGCCUGUUUAUGGCGAGACAGAAGCCAAGCAUGCCAGGAUCUGCUCGACCGCGAGAAGGCGAGUAGAAUCCCAAGCAUUGAAGAAUUUACUAAGGCAUGUAAAGGCUCACUAAGUCUCAAAGCCUGUUUAUGGCGAGACAGAAGCCAAGCAUGCCAGGAUCUGCUCGACCGCGCGAAGGCGAGCAGAAUCCCCAAGCAUCGAAGAAGUCACUAAGGCAUGCAAAGGCUCACCAAGUCUCAAAGCCUGUUUAUGGCGAGACAAAAGCCAAGCAUGCCAGGAUCUACUCGACCGCGGGAAGGCGAGCAGAAUCCCCAAGCAUCGUAGAAGUCACUAAGGCAUGCAAAGGCUCACCAAGUCUCAAAGCCUAUUCAUGGCGAGACAGAAGCCAAGCAUGCCAGGAUCUGCUCGACCGCGCGAAGGCGAGCAGAAUCCCCAAGCAUCGAAGAAGUCACUAAGGCAUGCAAAGGCUCACCAAGUCUCAAAGCCUGUUCAUGGCGAGACAGAAGCCAAGCAUGCCAGGAUCUGCUCGACCGUGAGAAGGCGAGCAGAAUCCCAAGCAUUGAAGAAUUUACUAAGGCAUGCAAAGGCUCACCAAGUCUCAAAGCCUGUUUAUGGCGAGACCAGAAGCCAAGCGUGCCAGGAUCUGCUCGACCACGAGAAGGCGAGCAAAAUCCCAAGCAUUGAAGAAUUUACUAAGGCAUGCAAAGGCUCACCAAGUCUCAAAGCCUGUUUAUGGCGAGACCAGAAGCCAAGCGUGCCAGUAUAUGUUCGAACACGAGAAGGCGAGCAGAAUCCCAAGCAUUGAAGAAUUUACUAAGGCAUGCAAAGGCUCACCAAGUCUCAAAGCCUGUUUUAUGGCGAGACAGGAAGUUAAGCAUGCCAAGAUCUGCUCAACCAAGCGAAGGCGAGCAAACCACCAAAGUUUCCAGUCUUGAUUCGUUCACUCUCAACACUAGAAACUGGGGGACUGGUGUUUAGGGAAUGAAAUAGGGUGACCAAGAUAAAGGUGUUUGCUCAUACAUUAUCAUGCUCUCCUCUAGAGUAAAAGCGAGCAAAUAGUUGAGCAGAUCACCUCGACCAGAAUAUUAUUGGUCACCUCGACCAGAAUAAUAUGUGGUGACCUCGAGCACAUCACCUUGACCAGGAUGUUAUUGGUCACCUCGACCAGAAUAAUAUGUGGUCACCUCGAGCACAUCACCUCGACCAGGAUGUUAUUGGUCACCUCGACCAGGAAGUUACCAGAAAGCACGAUUCAGUCAAAACAUUUUCUCCGAAAUAUUAGGGACCAUAUUCUUAGUGGAUGAAAACCGCUAUAGUUUUCU